rnacentral:misc_RNA from 1 species
UCCGGUUUGUCACCGGCAGUCUCCUUAGAGUGCCCAACUAAAUGCUGGCAACUAAGGACAAGGGUUGCGCUCGUUGCGGGACUUAACCCAACAUCUCACGACACGAGCUGACGACAACCAUGCACCACCUGUCACUCUGUCCCCCGAAGGGGAAAACUCUGUCUCCAGAGGUGUCAGAGGAUGUCAAGACCUGGUAAGGUUCUUCGCGUUGCUUCGAAUUAAACCACAUGCUCCACCGCUUGUGCGGGCCCCCGUCAAUUCCUUUGAGUUUCAGCCUUGCGGCCGUACUCCCCAGGCGGAGUGCUUAAUGCGUUUGCUGCAGCACUAAAGGGCGGAAACCCUCUAACACUUAGCACUCAUCGUUUACGGCGUGGACUAC